GCAUCAGUGGUUUAGUGGUAAAAUCCAUCGUUGCCAUCCUGUCCUUAAUCGGGACAAUUAGAGGUCGAUGGGCCCCGCGUUCGAUUCGCGGCUGAUGCA
rnacentral:tRNA from 1 species